CCUACGGGUGGCAGCAGUGAGGAAUAUUGGUCAAUGGGCGCGAGCCUGAACCAGCCAAGUAGCGUGAAGGAUGACUGCCCUACGGGUUGUAAACUUCUUUUAUAAAGGAAUAAAGUGAGGCACGUGUGCCUUUUUGUAUGUACUUUAUGAAUAAGGAUCGGCUAACUCCGUUCCAACAGCCGCGGUAAUACGGAGGAUCCGAGCGUUAUCCGGGUAUUUUGGGUUUAAAGGGAGCGUAGAUGGGUUGUUAAGUUAGUUGUGAAAGUUUGGGGCUCAACCGUAAAAUUGCAAUGGAUACUGGCAGCCUUGAGUACAGUAGAGGUAGGCGGAAUUCGUGGUGUAGCGGUGAAAUGCUUAGAUAUCACGAAGAACUCCGAUUGCGAAGGCAGCUUACUAAACUGCCACUGACAUUGAUGCUCGAAAGUGUGGGUAGCAAACAGGAUUAGAUACCCCGGUAGUC
rnacentral:rRNA from 1 species